AUACGUAGGGUGCGAGCGUUGUCCGGAAUUACUGGGCGUAAAGAGCUCGUAGGUGGUUUGUCGCGUCGUCUGUGAAAUUCCGGGGCUUAACUCCGGGCGUGCAGGCGAUACGGGCAUAACUUGAGUACUGUAGGGGAGACUGGAAUUCCUGGUGUAGCGGUGAAAUGCGCAGAUAUCAGGAGGAACACCGGUGGCGAAGGCGGGUCUCUGGGCAGUAACUGACGCUGAGGAGCGAAAGCAUGGGAAGCGAACAGGAUUAGAUACCCUGGUAGUCCAUGCCGUAAACGGUGGGCGCUAGGUGUAGGGGUCUUCCACGACUUCUGUGCCGUAGCUAACGCAUUAAGCGCCCCGCCUGGGGAGUACGGCCGCAAGGCUAAAACUCAAAGGAAUUGACGGG
rnacentral:rRNA from 1 species